GAUGAACGCUGGCGGCGUGCCUAAUACAUGCAAGUCGAGCGAACAGACGAGGAGCUUGCUCCUCUGACGUUAGCGGCGGACGGGUGAGUAACACGUGGAUAACCUACCUAUAAGACUGGGAUAACUUCGGGAAACCGGAGCUAAUACCGGAUAAUAUAUUGAACCGCAUGGUUCAAUAGUGAAAGACGGUUUUGCUGUCACUUAUAGAUGGAUCCGCGCCGCAUUAGCUAGUUGGUAAGGUAACGGCUUACCAAGGCGACGAUGCGUAGCCGACCUGAGAGGGUGAUCGGCCACACUGGAACUGAGACACGGUCCAGACUCCUACGGGAGGCAGCAGUAGGGAAUCUUCCGCAAUGGGCGAAAGCCUGACGGAGCAACGCCGCGUGAGUGAUGAAGGUCUUCGGAUCGGAAAACUCUGUUAUUAGGGAAGAACAAAUGUGUAAGUAACUAUGCACGUCUUGACGGUACCUAAUCAGAAAGCCACGGCUAACUACGUG
rnacentral:rRNA from 1 species